UCUGCUUUUGGCACCGGAUAUUUUUUUUAGUCUUCACCGUCUUAAAGAACCGCCUUACAGAACCGCCUUAAAGUAAUUGUAGAUAGAAGUUGGCUUCUUGGUAUAUGUUGCCUUCUAAUUUCAGUUUCCACCUCGCGCUUUUGGAUUUCUGUUUCUCCUUAUCUUGCGAUUAUGUGUUCCUUUCUUGCGGUUUUGAUUGUUUCGUUUGACGUUUUCUGGUCUUCAUCAUUCACUUGUAAUUCCUUUGAUGGGUUCUGAUUUUGAUUGUUCUGUACAAAGAUUUGAGGCGAUGAUGAGCUUUGUUUGUGAAAAAAAUUGCAACGUCGACCAUGGGUGAAGUUGAAGGCCGUAUUUUGGCAAGGUAAAUCGGAAGGCAUAUCCGAUUGGAAUAUGCAACCGGUGUUUGCAGCCAUACCGCCUUUCAUUCCCUUUUUUGAGCCUCCUCUCACUAAAAAUCACUGCCGUAUUUUUUAUUUGGGCUUUCACCUAAAGCUGGAAUCUGUUUUUAUGAUUUUCGAUUUUGAAAAUUUUGGUGGUUUCUUUGGUUACAACAUAUGAAACAGUUGGCAGAUUUGAAUAUGCACAUCAACUGUUUGAUGAAAUGCUUCAAAGAACCGGUAAGAUUACGUACGCUGAGAUUCUAACCAAUGCGUUUGUCAAGUAUGGUGAGAUCGAAGAUUGUAAGGUGGUGUGAAGUAUGGAGGAAACCAUUUACCUAAUGUGCUCUCUUUUAUGAUAAUCUCUUUGAAUAAGGUAAUUACUGUAUCACAUAGCAAUUAUGUAUAAUUUUUGUCUUAAGAAUAUAAAUUUUCUUUGUCAUCUCAUUUUUGUUGCAGUAAGUAAGACUAGAUGAUAUGUAUGUUGAAAAGGUCUGAUACUUCUAAUGAAUGAAGUAUCGAAUCAAAUAAUUGAUAGAAAUUAGAAUCUAUGGUGAAACUAGCUAUGCUUGGCGAACAGUCAUCCUAUGGUUUCACAUAGUUGGCUUAAUUUUUGAUACUAAUAUAAAUAAUUUUUUAUUUCUGUUUGCCUAUGGUUAGGUUGAUCUACAAACACAUGAUAGAGCUCCUGGAGUUGGUCAAUACUUUUUUUUGGUCAAGAAUUUUCCAAGUGCAAAGAUACAACUAGAAAGAAAGGAAGGUGAACGACUUGGUUUCAUUUCUUUUCUCCGCCAGGGUGCUCACUUCCUUCCUGUUCCCAGAGCCAGCUUCAGUCUGCUUUGCUCCAUCUAAGGCUAGGGCUAGGCACUUAAUCUCCCCAACAUUUCUUCUUCAUGUGCACAUUUGAAAACAACCUAUUGGCUUCAGACUUUGGAAUGGAGUGAACAAGGACAAGAGCUGAAUUCUCAAGAGGUGAUCAAUUUUAUGCAUCAUAUCCUGCAGCGAGUGGUAUAUCAGUUCAAACUAUGAUGCAGUAUCCAUCAUAUAUGAUGUUUAUAAAUAUGCCAAAACACAUGGCUAGAAGAUGCAGGCGCUGAUGUACUUAAAGCAUGUAUCCUUUUUUACUAUUUUUACUUUCGUUCCUUUGACUAUUUAUAUUCAACAAAACAUCCCCUCUUUGGAAUACUAUCUUCUUCAUCGUCCUUUUACAUAUACAUUAAGCAGCCAGGUAUCGAUGCCCCUUCUUUCGUCUUUGUUUUCUCAAUUUCAUAAGUUAGGAUUUAGUUUUGGGUUUAUGAUGAUUAGAGCCCAUUUGGCAAUUGUGAUGGAAUAUGCUUCUAAAGGGAAACUUUUUGACCCCACCCCAUUUGUCAAUCCUUUUUUUUUAAAUCUUAUAUGAAGUCAUUUGUUGUUUUUCUUUCUUGCAAACAUUUAAUUAUGUUGAUUAUGAGCAUGGUCGAUUUUUCUUUCAACAACUCAUAUUUGGUGUCAGCAACUGUCACUUUAUGAUUAUUGAAACUUUAAAAAUGUUAGUAAAUAGUAACAAACUUUUAUAUUUGUUCAAAUACAUAUCAUAAAUUUACUUAAUUCAAUUUUGUUUCAUUGUUAUGAAAUUUUGUAUUUUUGUUUGUUGAUUGUGGAAAGUUUAUGGAAAACAAAAAUUGUUAAAAUAGUAAUCAAGUUUCAGUUUUGUUAUGAUAUUACAAAAAUGAUGAAAAAAAAAGUUUAAGGUACUGAAUUGAACAAAUUUUAAAUUUGGUUACUUUUUAAUGAAAAUAGUUUUGCUUUUUUUUUAAUAUAUAUAUUAUUAUUAUUAUUAUUAUUUGGGUAGACUCUAAUAAUUUGAAUUAAUUUUUUUAUCAGUCAAGCAAGUUUGCGUACUCUAUGACAUUCAAGCAGUGGAAAAACAUUAAUGUGAACAAAUUUCAUAAAACUGAUGAUAGAUUUGGAUGAAAGUUGGUAUCUAUAUUAGUCCAAAUUGCAUCCCACAUCAGGUAAUGUCAAAUGUACCCCUGUUGACUAGAUAAAGCUAAUUGUGUAAUUGUUGUUUUUUCAGGUAGGAAAGAAUUGGUUCAAAUAACCAAAAAAAAAAAAAAAAAAACAGCGCCAAAGGCGCAUCUGAUUCCAUCUAGUUGUUAUAAAAUUACAUAAAAUUACAUAGAUUUGUAUAUGAUAUCUGUAAAUAAAAUAUAAUUACAUGCAAAUAGGUACAAUUUGGGUUUUUUGCGGUUUUUUAAUUUUUAAAAUCGAUACCAAACCAAAUAUUUUAUUUUUUUGAAAAAAUAGAAACCAAACCAUUGAAUUACGUUCGUUUUUGGUUUUUUCCACAGUUUUUGUAUUUGGGUUUGGUUUUUAUUGGCCCAACUUUUUAUAACGGGGUAUCUAAUACAAUUAUUAUUUAUGAAAAAUAAUAAUAAUAAUAAUAAUAAUAAUAAUAAUAAUAAUAAUAACCAAACACGUCGACUCCUUUCUAAGUAUAGUAGUAAAAUAGUAAAAUGUAUACAAGUCGUCUGGUACCCUGGUUGGUUUGGUGCCUAAUACUUACAGGGAUUCACCUUCUUCAGUUUGAGGUGGUAAAACUAAAAGAGGGCAAUGAAAAUUAGGGCUUACAACCGAAUACUUAACUAUCGUCUGAUUGAAGCAAAGCCAUAGCUUCCCACAUCGAUUGCUCGAACGAAAGCUAUCAGGUUUAUAUUGCUUGGCCUUCGAUGAUAGUUCGUCCCUUCGGGGACAUCCGAUAAAAUUGGAACGAUACAGAGAAGAUUAGCAUGGCCCCUGCGCAAGGAUGACACGCACAAAUCGAGAAAUGGUCCAAAUUUUUUUUUUGCCCUAAUUUGCUCGAUCGAUUGCUACAUUUCUUUUUAUUCAACAGCUCCAAAAAGGUACCGCUAUCGGUCGGAUCUUAUUAGGUUUGAUGCCAUUGUUGUCGCUUAUCUCGCUAAAAAACUCAUUGAUUUUUUGUUAUUUGCUGCAAUUUCUGAUGCUUAUAUGGAUUCACAAAACAAACGCUAUGAUCAUUGCUAAUGAAUGUAAUCGAAUGUGCUAAGCUCCUUGUCUGAAUGGUCUGUUAGAAUCAGUUAAUGAUCAGGCAUCAAGCUUAUUAUAAAACUGUUUUUUUUAGAGGUAGAGAUCAGGGUUUUUCUUUUUCUGUUUGAUUUAGUUAUUGUCUUCAAUAGCUUCUGUUGGUUUCCUUUGUUCUUAAUUGGAAUUGGUGCAACUUCUGGAUGUAUCAUGUGUGUUUGAUAGUAAUUAACAAUCACAAACUGUCUAAAGUUGCAUA